AACAUAUGCACAGAAGACUUCCCCCAUCAAAUACCUACUCCUGCUUCAACUCCAAACUUUGAUGUUGGCUUUUUCACGGCAGGGUCUUUCCCUGAAUGGUGAAGAUUCUGAAUAGCAGAUCUGAUGGCCAAAUGUGGUUCCUGUUCGUAAUGGAGAUGAGAAGAAUUCUAAGCUAAAAACAUCCUCACAGUCCAACAUGGGUGCAGCAUCCAGGGAAAAGAGCAAGAUAUGCCGUGGUUUUACUAUCCCUCCUGAGUCUUCCAGAACAGUGUUUGCCCAGACGACUGUACAUUCUUCUACACGCAGACUAAGGUAAAUGGCAGGACCUGGAUGCUUGCACACCAAAAGAGACUGGCAAGGACAAGAGGCUCGUGGACCGGGUGACAGGCCUAUUUGACUCUUCCAAAGUUGAGACUGACCUGUAGAGAUGUGAUCCUAUUCUGCCAUGAUCUGUCACCUUUGAGAAAUUUAUGUUAACCUGCAUUGAAUGACUACUCACCAUGUGAGAGCAGACUAAGAAACAGUGACAAAAACUUGAUUUGAAAGUUACCAAUUUAAGAUGCCUAUCUUUCCCUCGAUCCUGAAAGAAUCUGGGCAUCUAGGCCAUUGUAUCUCUGUUCAGAUUACUUAGAAGUGGCAAGAGUUGUCGCUACUGCUGGAGGUCAAAGACCACAAUCCUGGCUCUUAGAGCCUUGCUUCUUCCCAGCUCACUCUGUGUUGGAGUUGUCUCUGGAUCCAGCCCCUGCAUCAGUGAAAGACCAUAGCCACCACACAAUAUUUCUGCCUUCCUAUAGGUGGCAGGUAAGCUCUGUUUUACUCCCAUGAUGCACAGGAGGAAACUGCAGCCCCUAAAUGUUGAGUGAAUGAUUCAGAGAUGAUGAGUCAUACCAUUGGAUAUUACAGUGUCAUUGCAAGUGUAAUCAUUAGUCAAUAAGCUGCAAAAUCACUCAAGAUGGUGGCCACGCCAGUUUAACAUAGGACUGGGUGAAGAUGACAGCCACAGCAUUUCACAUAGGACCAGAGAACUCUCUUGGGAUAAAAGAUCCUCAGAGCUAAAAUUGGGACAUUCCCAGGCAAAUCAGGAUGGCUGGUUACCCUAGGGUUCUGACUUCAGAAACCGUAAUGCUGAUUAAAUGUUCCCCUCGUUACUAUAAAAUAUGUAGUAUUCCCUACAAUAUGUAGGCAGCCGUGUUCCCCAGGAUCCUCACUUCUUUUUGCCGUGACUGCAAUCAAAUCAGUGGGUGCAUUCACCAUUGCAUUUGCUGUGAGGUUCUCACUGGAGAUUACAGCCUGUAGACUCUUCUGGGCCACAGGAAAUCGAAAGGCUGACAACUCCGUAUUUCUGUGGCUUUCUGGGCUCCAACCCUAUUGGAUUUCUAGGAAAAAUGGUUACUUUUCCUCUUUGGUGAUGAUUGUGCUUAAAAUUCAACAGUCCUCCAGAUUUAGAGAAUGACAAGGUCUUGAUGAGGAGAUAAUUGAGGCCUCCAGGCAUUUAAAUCCCUCCAAUAUCCUGAGUUUGAUUCUUGACAGGUGAUAAUGUUUUUAUUAAGGCCUGUGGUGGCAAACCAUGUUACUUUAUUAUAUUCUAUUAUGGCAGUCUUUUUUACAAUUCGGGACCAUACUUAUUAGUGGACCAUAAGUCAAUGCAGUAAGCCAAACCGGUCAUUUUGAAAAUUACAUUUGAGAUGACUAGACUAGACUAGAUUAUUACAAUUAGGAGUACACUGGAUAUAGUGAGCCUCGAUGUUGUUUCAUGAGAUAUUUGUUACUAUCUUAUAUGUGUGUGUAUGUUCAUAUGCAGGUAUGUGAAUAAUAAGAAAGUGUAGGGGCUUGAUAAGUAUGUAUUAGUUUUUAAAAUUAAAACACAAUAGUGUAA